CAAUAGCGUAUAUUAAAGUUGUUGCGGUUAAAAAGCUCGUAGUUGGAUUUCUGCCGAGGACGACCGGUCCGCCCUCUGGGUGUGUAUCUGGCUCGGCCUGGGCAUCUUCUUGGAGAACGUAUCUGCACUUGACUGUGUGGUGCGGUAUCCAGGACUUUUACUUUGAGGAAAUUAGAGUGUUUCAAGCAGGCAUACGCCUUGAAUACAUUAGCAUGGAAUAAUAAGAUAGGACCUCGGUUCUAUUUUGUUGGUUUCUAGAGCUGAGGUAAUGAUUAAGAGGGGACAGUACGGGGGCAUUCGUAUUACGGUGUUAGAGGUGAAUACUUGGAUCGCGUAAGACGAACUACUGCGAAAGCAUUUGCCAAGAAUGUUUUCAUUAAUCAGAACGAAAGUCAGAGUUCGAAGACGAUCAGAUACCGU
rnacentral:rRNA from 1 species